UACGGAGGGUGCAAGCGUUAUUCGGAUUUACUGGGCGUAAAGCGCAUGUAGGCUGUUUGAUAAGUUUGGUGUGAAAGUCCAUGACUCAAUUGUGGAAGUGCACUGGAUACUGUCAGACUAGAGUGUAGGAGAGGAGAACGGAAUUCCUGGUGUAAAGGUUAAAUUUGUAGAUAUCAGGAGGAACAACGGUGGCGAAGGCGGUUCUCUGGACUAUUACUGACGCUGAGAUGCGAAAGUGUGGGGAGCAAAC
rnacentral:rRNA from 1 species